UACGGGGGGGGGCAAGCGUUGUUCGGAAUUACUGGGCGUAAAGGGCGCGUAGGCGGCGCGGUAAGUCACUUGUGAAAUCUCUGAGCUUAACUCAGAACGGCCAAGUGAUACUGCAGUGCUAGAGUGUGGAAGGGGCAAUCGGAAUUCUUGGUGUAGCGGUGAAAUGCGUAGAUAUCAAGAGGAACACCUGAGGUGAAGACGGGUUGCUGGGCCAACACUGACGCUGAUGCGCGAAAGCCAGGGGAGCAAACGGG
rnacentral:rRNA from 1 species